UCCCUGAUACAUUAAUACACCAACGUUAAAACAAUAACUUCUGGAAAGUUUCUCUCAUUUAGCUUUUUCUACUGUUCUCAGCCAGAGUUCUUUCCAAAACAGACUCUUGGGCCUGCUCUUUGCUGAGGAUCCUAUUCCUUUCCAGCCACAGCAUUUGGGUUCAUGUUGGUUUCUCCAUUCUCUUAAGCACCUUCAGUGAUCGUUUCCUAGUUUUAAGCUUUAAGCCAGUGGUAUGCCAUCCCUACUUACUUUUUGGGUGUCUUCUUUCCUAAGCAAAAUAUCUUUAGAAGAAAUGGAUUUUCACACUCUUGUCUGUUCAUGAGUAUGAAGGAUUCUGUUUCCCCUGAGUCUGGCAAGAAGCUAAACAUUUUCAAGUGACGCCCAAGUUCUUAGCUGUGUUAGCAUUCACAGCCUUCUAAGAGAGAUGAGAAAGACAUUAGAAGCUGACAAUACUGGUGGUAGCCUAGCUAUAUUUGGUGUCUAUUCUGCAUGUCUAAGUUCAGGAUGAUUUAUGUCCAUUAAAGGCCAGCAGAACACUCAAGUCUGCCUUCGAUAGGGCAAAACAUAAAGAACGUACGUUAAGAGAUCAGAGAUCUUCAUAAAGGAAUACUGCCUUCCAUCUGAUAUUGCGGGUUUUGUGUAGUAUCUCAAGAUAGUAUUUCAAGAAUGGCAGAAAAGUCUGUAAACAUUUAACUGUUACAGUUGCUUCAUUGUUUGGAAUUGUUUACAUAUCAGUGUUAUUUAAAACUCUAGUAGUUGUCCCAGCGAUUGAGUUCACCUGUUAAAAUACUAGGGAUCCUUACCAACUAAUACAAAAAUGCAUUGCUUACUUUGUAAGCCUCUUCUGCCUAAUAAGCUUUAGGGUAGUUCUACUGCCGUAUUUUACCUUUUAGCCAUCAGCAAGCAUAGGAUCUCAUCUGGACAAGGUAGGGACCUAAAUGAAUUGAUCUAA
rnacentral:lncRNA from 1 species